rnacentral:lncRNA from 1 species
CUUUCCCCAGCCUGUCUCUUCUGACCUUGAGCAACGUAAUCCAGCCAAUAUUUGAGAACGGUUACGUGUCAUGCUGUGGAUAUACAGAUAAAAUAAAUUCUUUUCCUGUUCAUUUUCAUUCUCAAUGGAGGCGGCAGACAAGGGAAAUAAAAUGUCCGUUCACUGGAGUGAGAAGACUGCAAAUCUCUCGUAGAAAGCAGCCUCUGUCCUACUGUAAGCACUUCUGGGGCCAGCAUCCUGACUAAACACACAGCUCACAUUCAAGCAUGUCUGACGUACUGGACACGAGCCGAGCCCUUGACCUGAAAUGUCUGUGUUGAAAGUCCCACGAGAUCCCUCAGCCCCUGCUCUCUGAGGAAACUGGGUACUCGAACCCAAGCAGGA